AGAACGAACGCUGGCGGCAUGCCUAACACAUGCAAGUCGAACGCUUUUGGGGCUUCGGUCCCAAAGGAGUGGCGCACGGGUGAGUAGCGCGUGGGAACCUGCCCUGGAGUGGGGGAUAACCGAGGGAAACUUCGGCUAAUACCGCAUACGCCCGGUUUACCUCGAAAGGGGGAAACCGGGAAAGAUUUAUCGCUCUAGGAGGGGCCCGCGUCGGAUUAGCUAGUUGGUGGGGUAACGGCCUACCAAGGCUGUGAUCCGUAGCUGGUCUGAGAGGAUGAUCAGCCACACUGGGACUGAGACACGGCCCAGACUCCUACGGGAGGCAGCAGUGGGGAAUAUUGGACAAUGGGCGCAAGCCUGAUCCAGCAAUGCCGCGUGAGUGAUGAAGGCCUUCGGGUUGUAAAGCUCUUUCGCACGCGAGGAUGAUGACGCUAGCGUGAGAGAACGCCCCGGCUAACUUCGCGCCAGCAGCCGCGGUAA
rnacentral:rRNA from 1 species